rnacentral:rRNA from 1 species
UACAGAGGGGGCAAGCGUUGUUCGGAAUUACUGGGCGUAAAGGGCGUGUAGGCGGCCUUCUAAGUCGAACGUGAAAUCCCCGGGCUCAACCCGGGAACUGCGUCCGAUACUGGAAGGCUAGAAUCCGGGAGAGGGAUGUGGAAUUCCAGGUGUAGCGGUGAAAUGCGUAGAUAUCUGGAGGAACACCGGUGGCGAAGGCGACAUCCUGGACCGGUAUUGACGCUGAGGCGCGAAAGCCAGGGGAGCAAACGGG